GUGGCCAGAUGGCUGGACGCCAGACUGAUAACCUGGAGGCCACUGGUUCGAGCCCCACAGGC
rnacentral:tRNA from 11 species